UUUGAUCCUGGCUCAGAACGUACGCUGGCGGCACGCCUAACACAUGCAAGUCGAACGAAGUAGCAAUACUUAGUGGCAGACGGGUGAGUAACAUGUGGGUAUCUGCCCUUUGGCCUGGAAUAACACGAGGAAACUUGUGCUAAUACCGGAUAAGUCUUUACGGAGAAAGCUUUAUGCACCAUUGGAUGAGCCCGCACUUGAUUAGUUUGUUGGUGGGGUAAUGGCCUACCAAGACUGUGAUCAAUAGCUGAUUUGAGAGGAUGAUCAGCCACAUUGGGACUGAGACACGGCCCAAACUCCUACGGGAGGCAGCAGUGGGGAAUCUUGCACAAUGGAGGAAACUCUGAUGCAGCGAUGCCGCGUGAGUGAAGAAGGCCCUUGGGUUGUAAAGCUCUUUCGUCGGGGAAGAAAAUGACUGUACCCGAAUAAGAAGGUCCGGCUAACUUCGUGCCAGCAGCCGCGGUAAUACGAAGGGACCUAGCGUAGUUCGGAAUUACUGGGCUUAAAGAGUUCGUAGGUGGUUGAAAAAGUUAGUGGUGAAAUCCCAGAGCUUAACUCUGGAACUGCCAUUAAAACUUUUCAGCUAGAGUAUGAUAGAGGAAAGCAGAAUUUCUAGUGUAGAGGUGAAAUUCGUAGAUAUUAGAAAGAAUACCAAUUGCGAAGGCAGCUUUCUGGAUCAUUACUGACACUGAGGAACGAAAGCAUGGGUAGCGAAGAGGAUUAGAUACCCUCGUAGUCCAUGCCGUAAACGAUGUGUGUUAGACGUUGGAAAUUUAUUUUCAGUGUCGCAGCGAAAGCGAUAAACACACCGCCUGGGGAGUACGACCGCAAGGUUAAAACUCAAAUGAAUUGACGGGGACCCGCACAAGUAGUGGAGCAUGUGGUUUAAUUCGAAGAUACGCGCAGAACCUUACCAACACUUGACAUGUUCGUCGCGACUCUAAGAGAUUAGAGUUUUCGGUUCGGCCGGACGAAACACAGGUGCUGCAUGGCUGUCGUCAGCUCGUGUCGUGAGAUGUUGGGUUAAGUCCCGCAACGAGCGCAACCCUCACUUUUAGUUGCCAUCAUUAAGUUGGGCACUCUGAAAGAACUGCCAGUGAUAAGCUGGAGGAAGGUGGGGAUGACGUCAAGUCCUCAUGGCCCUUACGUGUUGGGCUACACACGUGCUACAAUGGUAUCUACAACAGGAAGCAAGACUGCGAGGUCAAGCAAAUCCUUAAAAGAUACCUCAGUUCGGAUUGCACUCUGCAACUCGAGUGCAUGAAGCUGGAAUUACUAGUAAUCGUGGAUCAGCGUGCCACGGUGAAUGCGUUCCCGGGUCUUGUACACACCGCCCGUCACACCAUGGGAGUUGGUUCUACCUUAAGGCAAGGUUUCAAACCCUUGACCACGGUAUAGUCAGCGACUGGGGUGAAGUCGUAACAAGGUAGCCGUA
rnacentral:rRNA from 1 species